CAGAGCACGGAGGUUAGUGGGGAUGGUCGCUCCUCUCCUGCAUGGCUGCAGGUCUUGACACGUCACGCAUGUGCAGCUUGGAUUGCAGGGCCGGUGCAGGUGUUCCGGGAAGCAACGCUGGUUGCCAUGGCAGCCGCGCCACACAGCCGACAUCACGUCACUUCCUGGAGACGCCGGAAGUCCCCCGGCGGUUCCCGAGGCUGACGGCGUCCGGCCCUGCUCACCUUCACGUGUGGGAUGCACCUGGGUGCUAUAAAAGAGAACAGAGGGAGCAACAAUCUGCUCCAUAUGCCAGUGAGUAGAGGGCAGAUGUUUCUAUCAGGAAAAAGAACAGUCAUAUAAGAAGAGAUUUUAUGUGCAGAUGGCCACAUGCAUAUGUCAAAGAUUUCAUCUCCAUGUAUGCACUAUAAAUACUCCUUACCAGAAUAAAUAGCCUUGUGUGAGGUACUGGGCAUGAAGUGAGACUGGGAGAGGAGCAUGCAGACAACUGCAAGUUUGGCAAGUAAAAGGUUCACGUAAGGGUUAAUGUAAUAAUCUGAAGGUAAUGGCUGCAGAUAACAAAGUCCCAAGCAUUCUGCCUAAAAGGUUCUACAACUACAUGUGUUACUGUUCCGCACAGUUAAUGGUUAUAUUGCAUGGGAGAAUAGGUUUUUCAUAAAAUAUCAUUGAAUGUAAAACAAAUAGAUCUCUGGCAGCCAUCACAGGAAUUACUUUUUAAAAUGUAUUUAAAUGUUGUGAUUUAUACGGUUGUUUAGUAAAUGUUUCAUUUAAAUUCAUAAAGCAGCAAAAACAUUGAUCAUAAUUGUUUAAAUCUUUACAAAUGAUGUAAAAAGUCUGUCCAGGAAGCUGUGGUGUUCUGAAGUGACAUUAUACCAAGUCAGUGUAACAUUAUAAUGAAUGCUGCUCUCCUGUCUCCCCAGGGCAUAACUGUUCCCAGUGUUCUGCGUACAUAACAAUACACAUUCUCUUCAGAACACUGCAGUUUUCCAGUUGUAUAAAAACACAGCAUAACCAAUCACCAUGUAUUAACACUGCACUAGAUGCUCAAUGCUAGCCCCUUUGCACACUGCAGGUGAUGCUGCCCUUGUAGAGCAAUGCUAAGAAGCUGUUUUUCAAUACUGUACGAAUCCAGCAUUCAUAAAAGCUAAAGAACCAAGACAAUUCUUACACUCACUCCUCAGCAGUAUUUCAGCUCCUACAUGAUGUUAUACAGCAAGUGACAUCUGCAGUAAUCUUAUAGCAGUUUUAGUUGAAACACUGGCCUUGGCGAUACAUAAAAGCAUAGUAAUAAUAUUUAUUAGUGACGUCGAAAAAUUAAUUUCGGUAUAAUAACAGUUUGUGAAAUCACAUAGGUUGAAAUUAAAUGUAUUACCUUCACACAUGACAACAAAAUGUCACAGCAAAAAUAGCACUUUUAAGACUAUUUGCACUCUAUAUUAAAAAUAAUUAUCUUGUUUGAUGAGAAGUCAGGAGAACAUUUAGCUCUGC